AUGGGAAAUUCCCCCUCCUAUAACCCCCCCGCUGGUAUCUCCCCCUCAGACUGGC
rfam:Bovine leukemia virus complete genome.